rnacentral:rRNA from 1 species
CUACGGGACGCUCCAGUGAGGAAUAUUGCACAAUGGGGGGAACCCUGAUGCAGCAACGCCGCGUGGAGGAUGACGCAUUUCGGUGUGUAAACUCCUUUUAUAUGUCAAGAAAAUGACGGUAGCAUAUGAAUAAGCACCGGCUAACUCCGUGCCAGCAGCCGCGGUAAUACGGAGGGUGCAAGCGUUACUCGGAAUCACUGGGCGUAAAGGACGCGUAGGCGGGUUGGAAAGUCAGGUGUAAAAUCCUACAGCUUAACUGUAGAACUGCACUUGAAACUUCUAAUCCAGAGUAUGGGAGGGGGAGAUGGAAUUAGUGGUGUAGGGGUAAGAUCCGUAGAUAUCACUAGGAAUACCUAAAGCGAAGGCGAUCUCCUGGAACAUUACUGACGCUAAGGCGUGAAAGCGUGGGGAGCAAACAGGAUUAGAUACCCGUGUAGUC